AGGGGUUACGGGAAUGUCACCGGAGAGGAGAGACUGGCAAGGCACACCUGGGGAAUACAGGAUCACUUCUCCUAUUAUCACAGAAAAGGGUACAGCAGCAUGAAUGAGCGCGUCUGACUGCUUGCUGUAUCGACAGCAUGUAUACAACCGAACGCCGGCGAAUGAGCCUGCACGAGGUGAAGAGAAAGGAUCCCGUGUGGGUGUCAGGAACUCUAUGGCAGGAUCCCCUGACGUUGGACUUAAGCAGCACCAACAAAAACCUGAUUUCACCCCGGAGUCGCAAUAGGGCUGUCGCUGUGGCGUACAUAGUGACCGAAGAUGCAUCGGUGCCUCAAGCUGAAGAGAAUUUGUCAUUAAAAUGUCUCAAGGAAGCUUGCGCGGACACACAUGCGGUGUUUCAAUCCAUUCCAUUCGAAAGAAUCUCGCUCGGAACGACGGACAUUCUGGAUAGCUUCUACAACGCAGAUGUUGCUGUCGUGGAGAUGAGCGACACCUUCUGCCAGCCGUCGCUGUUUUAUCACCUGGGUGUGAGAGAGAGUUUCAGCAUGACCAACAACAUCAUUUUGUACUUCUACAAGCAGGAGAGUGACCUACAAGCCCUUAAGGAACAGUGUGGAAGCUACACCUUCCUCCCGUACAUCGUGACUCCCCAGGGCAAGGUGUUGGCCUGCGACCCGAGCCUCAUGAAGGGCAUUAACGACCUGAUGCAGCCCAGCUUCAUGCUCGAGCCUCUGCUCACCCCGCUGGUGGAACGGCUAGUUCACCUGCUGGACAACGUGCACAUUCACUCCAGCGAGUAUUUCCGCGAGUCCAUCCGCCGUGAGAUCCGGACGGCACGUGAGCGCUUCAGCGGGCAGGACCUGAGUCAGGAGCUGGGCCGCAUCCAGGCCCGCCUGGACACAGUGGAGCUGCUCAGCCCCGACAUCGUCAUGAACCUGCUGCUGUCCUACAGGGACAUACAGGACUACGAUGCUAUAAUCAAGCUGGUGGAGACGUUGACUGACCUACCCAUGUGCCUCGUCACAGCCCAACAGAACAUCAAAUUCCAUUACAUAUUUGCACUAAACAGGAGGAAUCGUCCAGGAGAUCGUGCCCUGGCCUUGUCUGUGAUCCUGCCCCUCGUGGAGUCUGAGGGGAAGGUGGCGUCGGACGUGUACUGUCUGUGUGGCCGCAUCUACAAAGACAUGUUCCUGAGCUCCGGGUUCAGAGAGCAGAGUAGCAGAGACCAGGCCAGCUACUGGUACGGCAAGGCGUUUGAGAGCGAGCCCAGCCUCCACUCUGGAAUCAACAACGUGGUCCUGCUCAUGGCUGCAGGGCAUGAAUUUGACACCUCAAUUGAGCUGCGAAAAAUAGGCGUGACCUUGAGCACCCUGCUGGGGAGGAAGGGCUCCCUGGAGAAGAUGCAGGACUACUGGGAUGUGGGCUUCUACCUGGGGGCCAGCAUCCUGGCCAACGAGCCCCGCAAGGUCAUCCAGGCCUCAGAGAAACUCUACCGCCUCAAGGCCCCAAUGUGGUACGUGGGCUCCAUCAUGGAGACCUAUGUGUUGUACCGUCAGUUCUCCAAGCCCCCGGAGGUGCGCUCUCCUCACCAGGACACCAUGGACUUCUGGAUGGAGCUGCUGCUGCAGGCCUGCAAGCCCUCCGAGUCCACCGGACGCUGCCCUGUGCUGGUCAUGGAGCCUAGCAAGCUGCUGCAGCCCAGCAUCGUGUGCGUGAGCGAGGAGGACGACAGCUGCACCGUGCAGCUCAAACACGUCAUCCCCCCCCAGAAAGGCCUGCACCAGUGGACCUUCCCAGCUGCUGCCAUCCGGGGUGUGAGCGUGUCCAAGUUUGACGAGCGGAGCUGCUUCCUGUACGUCCUCUACAACUCUGACGACUUCCAGCUGUGCUUUCCCAGCGAACUCCACUGUAAAGGGUUCUGUGAGCUGGUGAACUCUCUCCUGAGACAGACGGAAGCUACACAGGAGGAUCCCAGCUCUCUGACUGCAGGAGUACUGGAGUUCAUCUACGAGACCAGCCCCAGCGGAGACAAGGUGGUUCUGGGUAAAGGCACGUACGGAGUGGUGUACGCUGGGAGAGACCUGAGCAACCAAGUACGCAUCGCCAUCAAGGAGAUACCAGAGAGAGACAGCACUUACUCCCAGCCCCUCCAUGAAGAGAUCGCCCUGCACAAGCGUCUGAAACACAGGAACAUUGUGCAGUACCUGGGCUCAGUCAGCCAGGACCACUUCAUCAAGAUCUUCAUGGAGGAAGUUCCUGGAGGCAGCCUGUCGUCGCUGCUGCGCUCCAAGUGGGGGCCCCUGAAGGACAACGAGGCCACCAUCACCUUCUACACCAAACAGAUCCUGGAGGGACUCCGAUAUCUCCACGACAACCAGAUUGUCCACAGAGACAUCAAGGGGGAUAAUGUGCUGAUCAACACUUACAGUGGCGUUCUGAAGAUCUCUGAUUUCGGAACAUCUAAACGCUUGGCUGGAAUCAACCCCUGUACAGAGACCUUCACUGGUACUCUGCAGUACAUGGCCCCAGAGAUCAUAGACCAGGGACCCCGGGGCUACGGCAAGCCGGCGGACAUCUGGUCCCUGGGCUGCACUGUCAUAGAGAUGGCCACGGGCAAGCCCCCCUUCCACGAGCUGGGAAGCCCUCAGGCAGCCAUGUUCAAGGUGGGCAUGUUCAAGAUCCACCCGGAGGUUCCUGCCUGCAUGUCUGACGAGGCGAAGCGCUUCCUAAUGAGCUGCUUCAACCCCGACCCGGAUGGCAGGGCCACGGCCUCCCUGCUCCUGAGGGACGGGUUCCUGAGAACCAGCCCCAGGAAGAGGACCAGGCCCCGGCCGGAGCCCCAGACCCAGAUCCCCCUCUCUGCAGAAUACCAGCGCAGCAUGUCUGUGCCUGUCGCGGUGUUUGUGGAGGACACGACCUCUGACAUGGUCGACCUCUCCUGCUCCCUCGACCUGCGCUGGUCGAAGUCUGGCCUCAGGGGAAGUGACAUCGCCGAAAGCCCGCCUACCAGCAGCUGCUUCCUGCCGGUUCCGGAGGAGCCUGUGGGGGACCUGGGCAGCCCCUCGUCCACGGGGGAGAACCUGGGCCUGUUCCUGCUGAGGAAGGACAGCGAGAGGAGGGCCACCCUGCACAGGGUCCUGACAGACGACAUUAGCCUCGUCCUCGCCAACAUCCAGGACACGCUGCCUCCGAAGACAGAGGGGGCGUGUGUCACUGUGGAACACAUCUGCGAUCUGAUUGGCUGCCUGAGGGAGAACAUCCGCUCCCCGGACAGAAAGUUGCUGACCAGCAGUCUCCUGAAGCUGCGCGCUUCGCUGCUGGCCGCCGCAGUACCCCUCAACAGCCUGCAGGCGGUGCUGUUCAGCUUUCAGGACGCGGUGAAGAAGGUUCUGAGGCAUCAGCAGGUGAAGCCUCACUGGAUGUUUGCUCUGGAUAACCUCCUGAGACAGGCCGUACGGGACGCCAUCACAGUGCUGCUGCCAGCGCUCAGGCUCCAGCUUCAGUCGUCCUUUGAGACGGAGGACAGCUCCUCUGACCGGGAGCAUGCAGGUGAUCCUGAGCUUCCUGAAGUGUUUCCUCCAGCUCUGCCGGGGGCGACAGAGGCCCCGGAGGACGCCGCGGCCAGCCUCGACUCGCCUACCGCCCUCGCCCUCAGCAGCUUCUGCCCCCUCAGUCAGGAGCUGAGAAACCUACGACUGGAGACCAGAAGACUGCUAACUCAGCUGGAGCUGAAAGAGAGGGAGUACCAGGAUCUGGUCAGGAUGUCCGUCCACAGGAAGCAGGAAGAGAUCGACCAUCUCAGGCAGGCUGCGAACCCCCCAGAGAGACGCGCUGCGCCACCCAGUGCUGCCAGGGAUGACGACCAGGGCCUGGUCAACUGGCUAAGGGCUGUUCCUGUGGACCAGGACACCAUAGACAAGCUGCUCUCUCACAGGUUCAGCCUGGACUGUCUCCUGCUGACGGCCUCCAGAGAUGACCUGGUGUACUGUGGGAUCAGGUGAGAUGCCCCCACCAAUCACCACGCUCCCACGGAACACAAACAGGAAGUCGCUACAGGAACGCUAAUGAGGGGGGGAGCAGGGUCGAAGAGGAGGGAUGUUGUGCCGUAUCUGGGCUGCCAUCACUGCCAAGAGGAGGUCUAGAGCCCAGCUCAGCCCAUUUCCUGAGAACAGUGUCCACUGAUUGGUCACUCCAGAGCCCAGCUCAGCCCACUUCCUGAGAACAGUGUCCACUGAUUGGUCACAUGAAAUAAGUAAGAUAGGCCUAUGAAUGUACUAAGAUGACAACUUUACAAUUCAGGAGAGAAAAAUAUCAAAGUUGUUGCUCAUGACAUAUUCUGAGAUUAGAUAUUUAACUUGUCUACACUGAUGCAAUUUUAUACUGAAACUACUACUAACAUUUGUAUAUAUUGACACAUUAUGUAAAUAAACAAGACAGUUACUUCAUUGAUUGAAUGUGUUUUGUUCACUUUACAGCUGUAAGGUGAGUGCAGCAUAGCACAACAAUGCUCUUCUAAAAGACGGUGUCUAUCUAAGCUAAGCAGUACUCUAUCAUUUUUACAUGCUCAAGGUGAAAGUGGACGUUUCAGGAAACAUAGACAUAAACAACAUAAAAAACAAAUGGUACUAAUGUUGUGUGUUGGUGACCUCUGACCCCUGACGUCUAGAAGGAGGCUCUGUCUGAAACAACCUACUCCUCGGAGAGUCAUUCAGUGUACUUGUCUGUAACCGACGGGAACAAAAAUAAAGAAAA